UACGAAGGGUGCAAGCGUUACUCGGAAUUACUGGGCGUAAAGCGUGCGUAGGUGGUUUGUUAAGUCUGAUGUGAAAGCCCUGGGCUCAACCUGGGAAUUGCAUUGGAUACUGGCAAGCUAGAGUGCGGUAGAGGAUGGCGGAAUUCCCGGUGUAGCGGUGAAAUGCGUAGAGAUCGGGAGGAACAUCUGUGGCGAAGGCGACCAUCUGGACCAGCACUGACACUGAGGCACGAAAGCGUGGGGAGCAAACAGG
rnacentral:rRNA from 1 species